UUUAAAUGCUUUUUGCUUCUGGGAGAAGGAGAAGCAGAUUUUUGAUUUUGUUAAAUUGAUGAUGUAAGGUUGUGAAACUGUGAAAACGUUCAGUCCACUGUGAGAGGACAGCAGACAGAAAGCUAGGCCUGCAGUGUAUCUGUCUGACUGCUGCACACCAGAGCAAGAAACAAUGAGUUUGUAAUUUGAUUAUGCUUAGAGGACCUUUUUUCUUUUUUUCCCCAGACAUUAAUUGGCUAAUAUUUGUCUUAUGUGUCUGGCAUUUCAGAGAACAGAAAAUGCAUUUCUCUUCCAUUAUGGGGGAGUGCCUUUUCUCCAACAUCCCCCGACUCUUAGCUGCUAUUUUAAUCUUUGGUUACUGUGGAAACCAGCAGGAUGUGCCAACCUCCUGCAUACAGUGGUGACUACACCAAUCACAUCUGGGUGUGUAUAUUUCUCUUUGAAUUAAAACCCAUAUCAAACGUCUGCAGUGGUGAGUUCUUUUCCUGUGCUGUUUCACAGAUUUUGGAUACCAUGCUGUGGUAAUAACAGUGCUUAGACAAAAAAGAAAAAAAAAGAAAAUUCUACUUAUCUGGUCGAAGUCACCUGCCAAUUAGCGAUCACUCUAGGUUUCAUUUUUCACCAUUAAUUCACAUUAUUAUGAAAUGUAAAUCCAUGAAGUAUAUUAUGAACAAGUAUGUGUGUGCUGUUUUUCUUUCUGUCACUCUCUGGCAUUACAAAGUGGCUGAUUCUAGUCUGAAUCAGGAACUUUUUGUUACUGAUUAUUCUAUAUUGAUAUAUGUCAAUAAAUAACUUGAAUACUAAUGCUUUGUAGUAGAUUGUAGCUCUUCUGACAGGACUGACAUGUAUUUGUGCAAUAGAUGUAUUCUUUUAUGCCUUGAUGACAUUGUCAUCUUUAGAUUUUACAUUUUCGUUAUAAUUUAUUGCAGUGCAUUUUACCCUUCAUAUUUAUUGUUGUAUGACUCAGAGUUUUAAAACAUACACAUGAAAAUUUAUGAUAUUGAAUCAAGUGUUAACAUUUCAUGCAUCCACAGAAACACAGUAUUUUUUUUUUUCCAAAUUACAUUUCAGUAUGUUUAUUUUAGUAUUACCAAUGAAACAAAAUAAGACAGGAAUAAAAAAAAGAAAAAUCCUUCUGAACAGAUGCACGAAGGUAUAUUGAAUUUAAAAAAAAAAUUCAUUAAAAAAUAUUCUUGUGUCACAGCUGGGAUGAUGUGAUCCAGUACAUUCUUGUCUUGGUACUACAACAGUAUUUUGACAGAAUACUACAAACUGUCUGUACAGUAACCAGUGUGAUGGCAAGAAAGGAACUGGGGUGCUGUCCUCCAGGGGGCAGCAUCGGCCUUACAGACAGGUCUGGCCGCAGCUGUGGUUCAUUGUAAUCACACCAGCUGCAGCCCCAUGACCUAAUUAUGGGCUCUAUAAGAGGCCUAGCUCCCAGGCCUAAGGAUAUGCUGCUUUUUAAAAAAUGUUUUAGAUGUGUUUGGGAGCUGGGCUAUUAACAGUGUGAUGGAUUGAUGCCAGUUUUUGGAUGAUUUUUGUUAUUACUCUUCCUUUGAAGGGUUUGGUUGCCAGAUUGGCCUUUUUGUGUGGCCUUUACUACUUUGGUGUUUUGGACAAAUAAAACCGAGAAAUGCUGAAUGUUAAAGGAAACGGCUUAAACAGUCUCCUUCAAGCUGAAAAGCUCAUCUGGACUGCACACUUGCCUGGGGUCUCCCUGGCACGCUGUACCCCAGCCUACUGACAGGAACAUGAGCACUAGGUUGAAAUCAUGUUAAAAAAGAAAUGUUUUGAAAAAAAAUAAAAAUAAAGAAGAGACAUGACACCUGUGAAUUCGGAAGAUGAGACAAAACAACCAGCUGACAAUAUGACUGUGAGCGUGAUGCUGAGGCUUCUGUUUGCAGACCUGUGAUGAGAAAUCUCACUAAUGAAGGGGAUUCUGCGAUGAAAAAUUUGACUUGUGAAGACAGGUUUAUUUUAGCAAUGUGAAAUGUUCUGUUUGUCUCUUGACUCACCUGCACAACUGGGAAAGCUUGGGAAUAGAACCUGCUAGAGAAGUCAGCUGUUCUGUGUGUGAAAUGUGUAGAACACGGUUCAUGGACAAUAGGUCCUAGAAGGCCAAUGAAGCCUAUUUUACCCUAUAAACAAUUAACAUAAUUGUCAAUGACAAUGUCUGUUCACAUACAUGUUAAAUAUUGGAAAAAACUCCACACACCGCAAUUACUGCUCUUGGAAAAACUUUAUUCACCCUCGAGAAUGAAUGUUUUGAUCCACAUUGGAUCUUUAGGCCACAGUAGUUGUGGCAUGUGAAGUUCAUUCCCAUUUCACUCAGCACCUCAUGUUUACACCUGCAGUGUUUAUUUGGAGGUACUUUGCCUAUAGAUACGUUACAGGAAGGAAGGAGAAAUAUAGGGAGGAAUAUAACAGAAAUGCCAUUUUAUUUGUUCAUUAUGUGGCAUAGUGAGGUUGUCAUAAUUCUCGUAAUAAGCGAAUCAGUUUUAUCAUCAGUGAGAGGAGACUAGUAUAGAAGGAAAAAAAGGAUAAUGUGCUGAAAAAAUCAUCUAAGUCAUGGGCGCUGAAUCAGAGUAGGCUGAAUAGUAAACUUUGAAGAGUUUUUUCCUUUGCUUAAGGAUAAAGACACUUUUUUCCCUGUGUACUGUAUGUAAUACAAGAAAGAUCAGGAGGGCCAUGGCAUACACCGUGUACUGUAUGAGCCCACUGUAAAGAAGAGACUCAAAUAAUAAACCUGUAUGACAAGCUU